GAUGUCGAUAUUUUUGGCGUUGAACUUGGUCAAAGAUAAAGAAAUCUUACUUGUCAAAAACGAAUGCACCUCAUAUUUUGGAACUAGUGUAGUAUUUUGUUUGGCGAGUGUGGGAGAUGAUGGAGUGCAUUUUGUUUAAAUGCAGUGUUUUGGUGGGCCUUUAAUGGUGUGAUUCUAUAUGUUAUGCUAAUGAACAUAUACUUAUGUGGGGGAAAAUUCUGUGCUCGUGGCUAGAUAUACAAUAUUAGUGCUACAUGAUCACAUGUUGGUGCUUCUUUUCUAGGUGGUAAGAGAGUGCACGGAACUGAAAUGUUUUCAUUGGCUGGUAGUUGUCAAUUGAUUUGAAAUAAUCCUUUACCUAGUCGAAAUCGUUAAUCAAAUCCAAAAUUAAAUACCUCAAAUCGAAUAAGAUAGCUUGAAAAUUACGGAGGAUAAUGAUUAAAAGAAUUUUAUGAGAAAAAUCUUUGUGAUAUUAUUGACAUGGUCAAAACUGGGUGAUCCAGUUAUUAAUAAAGACCUUAAUGGAAUGUAAGGCCUUGAAAAUUAUGGAGCAUGGUGUAUGUAUGAUUACUAGAGAGUGGUGCCAGCUUUGUCGCAACGCUGCUCGGUCGUGUGUUAAGUCUCUUUUUUGUGUUAUUGCGGUCAGAGGUGAGCAAUUUUACAAGAUCAACCUCUCACUGUUUUAAACAACCAUCUCCAAAAUAGAAGGGGCAAGGAAUUGCACCAACAAUAAAGAUAAGUAUGAAUAGACCAUAUCCAUGGUCCAUGCCAGUAAACCCCAUAGACGGGUAGGCUAAAAAGAUGUCAUGUACAGACGAAGCUAGAAACUUCAAAAUAAAGGCUGACACACCAGACAUCUAAAUGAAGAAACUCAACUCAUAAGCAAAACAAAACGAAAGCCCUUUCAAGCAAAUGCAGUAAAACUCAUGCAUCUACCCACCAUAGAGAAACAAAAAGAAAGCUUAGCAAGUUCAACAACAGACGAACAACGAAACUCAUCGGAUAAGGAUCAAGAUAAAUUAAACACAAAGAUGUGAACACCCGAUAUUAAAGCGCUAAUAAGGAGAAAUUGAGAAAGAACAGAAUCACAAAGACGAACAGAUUACACGCACCAGAUAGUAAGCAUCAGUCGAACAUAUAAUGUUUACACAAAGCACUUAGUAAUUACGUUGCAUUUGACGGAACCUUAAGAGAGCAUUGCCAAGAAACAAAAUGUCGUUGGUAAGACAUAUGAGAGGAUACACUAGGAAAGAAGCACAUAUUUGUGAUUUCUCCCGAUGAAAAAAUAGUGUUGAACACUCUCCUAUGGCUCUAAAUUUAUGAUGGGAAAUACUCCUCAACAUGAUGGAGCACACACGUCUAUGAUCUCAACCUUGAGAUGUUCUACAUUUGGAUUGAUAAUCCUACAGUUCUUUUUCUCUCAUAGAUUAAAGUGUUGUAAGAAGCUAUAACAUGGAAGUAAAGCUAGUAAAUAUCCCACCCACCUUAAGGUUCAUGGAGACAAUUAUUUCACUUCUAAAGCCACUUACCCUCCACUACAUAUACUAUGUACAGCAAUCUUUCCUUUGGGUUAGCAACAUGCAAACUCUAUCCUUUCUCCUUCAUCCAAAUAGUUCUAUAUCACAAUUCUUUGCAUUGAAUGGUUUCUAACAAAUUGGUCGCAUUUCACACAAACUUCAGAGAUGAUUGCUAGGAAACCGAACUAUAGUUGACAAUAUAUAUGAAUAGGAGACAUUGGGAAAGAAGCAAAUGUUUAUCCUACAUGAAAAAUAAUAUGAAAGGGCACUGACCUAUGGCUUUAAAAUUGUGUGAGGCACACUAUACAUUGCAACUUAGUGCUAGAUGGUUGAAGGUGUGAUGGACCAAGGGUGCUGCGGGACAAUAGAAGUCGGCCCCAUCAGCCGAGGACCUCCUACCCGAUGUACGACCAUAGUUUCUAGCCAGGUCUUUAUGUCAUUUAGAAAGAACAAACCGAAAACCUUGUCGUGCCAUACCAAGAGACUGCAUCAUCAUGGGAUACUUGAAACUACGAUGGAUAUACUAGGACUCUAUUAACUUAGGAUCUUGGCAUCCUUUGUAUCUCGGGGUUCGGGCUAGUUGAUUGGCAUCUUAAUGUUCAUGCUUAGGUAUACCUACAAUACUAGAGACCACACCUUUAUUCUGUACACUCCAUCCAAUCAAUAAAAAAAGAGCAAGAAUAUGUUUUACCUCCAGAGCGAGACAUGAACCUGGGUAACCGAUCUUCAGUUUCCUCUAGGGAUGUUCGGCUAGCCGCGGUACAUAUGUUUUACCUCCAGAGCGAGCAAGAAUAUGUUUUACCUCCAGAG
rnacentral:lncRNA from 1 species